rfam:Chlorocebus sabaeus isolate 1994-021 chromosome 13, whole genome shotgun sequence.
GUGCUUGCUUUGGCCGCACAUAUACUAAAACUGGAAUGAUGCAGAGAUUAGCAUGGCCCCUGCACAAGGAUGACACUUUUAUUUAACUUGGCAAAAAAAAAAAAAAUU